rnacentral:rRNA from 1 species
UGUAAGCGUAUACCAAAGUUGUUGCAGUUAAAACGCUCGUAGUCGGAAUUUGGCAGUUCCGGAUGUGUGCACGUCGUGUGCGCACUUCGCGGGGAUUGCUUUUGUGGUCUUGCGUAGGAUGAGGCACUUUUAUUAGUGAACGUCCUCACGCAACCACUUUUUACUGUGAGAAAAUCAGAGUGCUCAAAGCAGGCAUUUGCCGUGAAUGUAUUAGCAUGGAAUAAUAGAAUAGGACUUGGUUCUAUUUUGUUGGUUUGUUGGGACUGAGUAAUGAUUAAGAGGGACAGUUGGGGGCAUUUGUAUUUCGGUGCUAGAGGUGAAAUUCUUAGAUUACCGAAAGACAAACUGCUGCGAAAGCGUCUGCCAAGGAUGUUUUAAUUGA